ACGAACGCUGGCGGCGUGCUUAACACAUGCAAGUCGAACGGAAAGGCCCUGCUUUUGUGGGGUGCUCGAGUGGCGAACGGGUGAGUAACACGUGAGUAACCUGCCCUUGACUUUGGGAUAACUUCAGGAAACUGGGGCUAAUACCGGAUAGGAGCUCCUGCUGCAUGGUGGGGGUUGGAAAGUUUCGGCGGUCGGGGAUGGACUCGCGGCUUAUCAGCUUGUUGGUGGGGUAGUGGCUUGCCAAGGCUUUGACGGGUAGCCGGCCUGAGAGGGUGACCGGCCACAUUGGGACUGAGAUACGGCCCAGACUCCUACGGGAGGCAGCAGUGGGGAAUAUUGCACAAUGGGCGGAAGCCUGAUGCAGCAACGCCGCGUGCGGGAUGACGGCCUUCGGGUUGUAAACCGCUUUCGCCUGUGACGAAGCGUGAGUGACGGUAAUGGGUAAAGAAGCACCGGCUAACUACGUG
rnacentral:rRNA from 1 species